rnacentral:lncRNA from 1 species
AUUAUCAAAAACCCUUCUCUUUUUUUCUUUCUUUUGUGAGUGAAAAGGGUUCUUUUUCUUCUAAACAAGGACCCAUCAAUACACUCCUCCUCGGGGAAUCAAGCGUCUCGGUCCGAUCGUCAUCAUCAUCAUCAUCAUCAUCAUCAUCAUCAUCAUCAUCAUCAUCAUCAUCAUCAUCUUUGUCUUCGUCUUCAUCCACACCAACCAAAUCAAUAUAUACACCAAGGUUUUUACUGCAAGGCAAAAGAAAAGUUUCGGCUAAUUUAUUAUAUUAGCAAUAUCUAGGUAGCUACAUUUCUGAUAUCUCAUUUUCAUCAUCUUAAUUAAUAUUAGUUCAAGUGCCUUAUGUUAGAAUGCUUAUUCAUUUAGGUUUCGUUUUGUUUUGUUUUCUUUAAUGGUUGUUUAAACACAGAAAAGCAGAUAUAUAUGUUGAAUGUAUGUGGACUCAUUCAUAUAUAUAUCUAUAUAUUCAUAUGAUAUAUCUGUGUUGUGAGUCAAGUACCAAAACAUUUUCAAACCCAUCUGAUCAUCAUCAUCAUCGAUAUAUCUCUCUUCAUUCAACUUCAACUCAUG